CCUACGGGAGGCUGCAGUGGGGGAUAUUGCACAAUGGGGGGAACCCUGAUGCAGCGACGCCGCGUGGGUGAAGGAGUAUUUCGGUGUGUAAAGCUCUAUCAGCAGGGAAGAAGAUGACGGUACCUGACCAAGAAGCCCCGGCUAACUACGUGCCAGCAGCCGCGGUAAUACGUAGGGGGCAAGCGUUAUCCGGAUUUACUGGGUGUAAAGGGGGCGCAGACGGCAAUGCAAGCCAGGAGUGAAAGCCCGGGGCCCAACCACGGGACUGCUCUUGAAACUGCAUGGCUGGAGUGCAGGAGGGGCAGGCGGAAUUCCGAGGGUAGCGGUGAAAUGCGUAGAUAUUAGGAGGAACACCGGUGGCGAAGGCGGCCUGCUGGACUGUAACUGACGUUGAGGCCCGAAGGCGUGGGGAGCAAACAGGAUUAGAUACCCUGGUAGUC
rnacentral:rRNA from 1 species